AUGGCGGAGAUUGUGAUUCUUCUAGCCAUUAAAAAGAUCGGAAAUGCCUUGGCAAAUGGAGCGGCAGACCAGGUGAGCAUGCAGUUUGCGAAGUAUGGGAAGCAAAAAGUAGAUCUACAGGGCAGCAUGGGUCGUGUUGCAAGGGAGCUUCGCGUCAUACAUGAUGUUGUUUGUCAAAUGGACAUUCGAAACAGCAACAAUCAAGUAUAUGAGGGCUGGUUGGAGGAAGUACGGAAGGUAGCACAUGUGAUGGAAGACAUAGUGGAUGAGUACUUGUAUCUAAUUGAUCAGGAACAUGAUAUAGGGUAUUGCUUUUACCUGAAGCAAGGGUUCAGAAAACCAGGAUCUCUGCUUUAUUUGAACCAGAUAGCUUUCAAGGCGAAGGAAAUAGAGAAAGACCUUGCACACCUGUCAGAGAUAAAAAAUCGUUGGGUCCCCAUGAUACAGAACGGGGAUACUAGCAGCUCGAAUUACAUUGUCAAGAGGUCCCAAGAUCUAGCAAACAUUUCACGUUCCCUUGAUGAAGAAGAUUUAGUGGGGGUGGAUAAAAACAGAGAGAUACUUGAGCAGUGGUUGGCAGGUGCUGAUUUGGAGUGCUCCGUGAUCGCACUGCUUGGAAUGGGAGGACUUGGUAAAACAACUUUAGCUGCAAAUGUCUAUAGGAAGGAGAGAGAGCAAUUCCAGUGCCACGCGUGGGUCUCCAUUUCUCAAACUUAUUCUAGAGAAGAUGUCCUGAGGAAUACAUUCAAGGAACUUUUCAAAGAUAACGUCAGUGUUCUGUCUAAUACCGCGGCGAUGGACAUCACAUGCCUUGAAGAGACACUAAAAAGAUUUCUGGAGCAACAUAAGUAUUUGAUCAUACUGGAUGAUGUUUGGACUCCACAAGCAUUUGAUGACUUGUCUAGAGUGCUUAUUCAUAAUGACAAGGGCAGCAGAUUGAUAAUUACAACAAGGGAAGGUGAUGUUGCUGCACUUGCCUCUCCAGGACAUAUCUUAAAGCUAGAAGCUUUACCAGAAGACAAGGCAUGUGAUCUCUUUCAUAAGAAAGCCUUUCCAACAGAUAAAAAUCAUGAAUGUCCUGCGGAGUUGAAGUCUUUGUCCCACGAAAUAGUUAGCAAGUGCAAAGGCUUGCCUCUCAUUAUUGUGUCAAUUGGUAACCUCUUGCGUGUGCGUGAGAAAACUGUGGAAGAAUGGAGAAGAAUAAAUUACCAACUGAGUUGGGAGCUAAUUAAUAACUUGAGGCUUGAUCACAUAAGGAAUGUUUUGCAUCUGAGCUUCAUCUACCUUCCAGCACACUUGAAAAGUUGUUUCCUAUAUUGCAGUUUAUUUCCAGAAGACUAUCUUUUCAAAAGGAAACAACUUGUACGGUUAUGGAUAGCAGAGGGAUUCAUUGAGGAGAGGGGUGAAAGCACAUUAGAAGAAGUGGCAGAAGGCUAUCUGAAGGAGUUAAUUGAUAGAAACAUGCUACAACUUGUUAAAAGGAACUCAUUUGGUAGGACCAAGAAAUUGAGAAUGCAUGAUAUCUUACGAGAAUUGGCCGUUGAUUUGUGUCAAAAGGAUUGUUUUGGUGUUACAUAUGAGGAUAAAUGUGUGGGUUCUCUUGAGAUGGAUGGGCGUCGAUUGGUAAUGCAUAAGCUAAAGAAGGAUAUUCAGCACUCGUUUUCUGGUAUACACCAACUUCGAACCGUCAUUGUAGUGGAUGAUAACAUGCCAUCAUUCACUCUACUACCUCUGUUAUGUAAGAAGUCAAGAUAUAUGACAGUGCUAGAAUUAAGUGGCUUACCCAUUGAGAAGAUUCCAGAUGCUAUUGGAGAUCUUUUUAGUCUCCGCCAUUUAGGUUUGCGUAAUUCAAAAGUGAAGAUGCUCCCGAGGUCUAUUGAAAAGCUUUCAAAUUUGUUGACACUGGACCUUUAUAGAUCAGAUAUACGUUAUUUGCCUAGUGGGGUUGUCAAACCGAAGAAGCUUAGGCACUUAUUUGCUGAGAAAAUGAAUUAUCUAGAUUGGAGGGAUAUUCAUUCUCACAGUGGUAUGACUAUCCCCAUUGGUCUUGGGAAUCUAACAAACCUGCAAACCCUACGAACAUUGGAAGUGCAGGGCGAGUCAGUUAGACAUUUGGGGGAGCUGAGGCAACUGAGAAGCUUGAGGUUAUCAAAUGUAAAGGGAAUCUACUGUGGACGCAUCCGUGAGUCUCUAGUUCAGAUGCAGUAUUUGUCCAAGCUAUCUGUGAAUGCAAGUGAUGAGAACGAGGUUCUCUUGUUGAACGUCCUCCCGCCAAAUCUGCAAACCCUAUCGUUGAGAGGACGAUUAGAGCAAGGGUCGUUGGAUGAGUCUCCUCUCUUCCAAUCUGAUGGAGGACAAAACUUGUGUGCAUUGGCUCUGUCUUGGUCACAACUGAGAAAAGACCCACUGCCAUCGCUUUCUUUGUUGUCGAACUUGACACUUCUACACUUCACCAGAGCGUACAACGGAGAGCAGCUGACAUUUCUCACGGGGUGGUUUCCCAAGCUAAAGAUUCUCUUUCUAAGAGACCUGCCUAAUCUGAACCAGCUAGAGAUACAGCAAGGUGCCAUGGCGGGCCUGGAAAGAUUAUCCCUAGUCAACCUCAACAGCAUGACGGAGGUCCCACCUGGCAUUGAGUUCCUCGUGUCCCUUCAGUAUCUGGUCUUCCACGAAAUCACCGGUGACUUCUUGACGUUGCUGCGCGAAUGCUCCGCGAUUCGAGGGAAGCUGUGGCAUCACACUCUCCGGCUUUGA
rnacentral:rRNA from 1 species